GAUGCUCUCUUCAACCGCCACCGCCUCUCCUUCUACUACUCCUGCUGCUGCUGCUGCUGCGAGCCGCACUGCCGUGGCGCUCCCUACCGCCAAGACAUUUCAAAUGAGCAAAGCCGGAACACAACCGGCUGACGCGGCUCUACGGAGAGGACCGGAUCUGAGCUCCAGAGCGCACGUGAGAUGCACUUCAAAAAACACAGUGGACUGCGUGCAACUAAUUACCGAUUUACUUGUUUUUAUUUCGCUGGCUUGUAAGUCUUACUAAGUUACUGGCAGUCUUACAUUGCUCUUCGCAUGAUUUACAUAGCAUCAUAGCUGGAAUAUUUUACUGGAUCAAAUCACGAUUGGCAUCACAGACAACAUUUGCAUGAUUGGCUUUGUCCUUCGCUUGGCUCUUCAACUGCAGUGGCAGCACAAGAAAUGCUGCUGGGUGCACACGAACAAUCACUCCAACUCCUAACUGAACCAGCUGAUGAAGUACUGCAGAUCCUGCAACACUGCUGGGAAUUUCCUUACAACAGCAACCCACCUUUCCUGCAGCAUCUGGAGCGGCUCGCUUUU